AGAUACCUCAAAAAUAUAAGUCUUAUGACUUGCUGUUUUUCAAAAAUUGUGACCUAAUUAGAUCACUAUAAUUAUUUCAGGCUAUGGGGCAGACUGUUAAGGCUUAGGGGACAACAGAUAACAAUUUAUAACUUUACUUGUUAAGAGGAAUACUGGUAAUCAAUAUUUCCAUGUUUUCAAAUGCUUUACAGGAAUUGUAUUUCUCAUAGUUUCUGUUCUUUUAUUCUCUAGAAAAAAGCAGCAACAGGAUUCCUUUCUUUCCAAUUCAAAUGUGACUUCCAUCCAUAUUUUGCACAGGCAGUUCUGCCCAGGGAUCCCUCAGAAUGAAUGAGCUGAAACUGAAAGUGGUACGUGCAGGAGAAACUAAGCUCAACCAAAGGAGGAAACUGAAAAAAACCCAGAAGGAUAUUAAUCAGACAAGACAUGAGUAACCUGAAGAAGAGCACUCUUUGUACUGACAAAGUGGAAAUGGCAUCUAUCCAAACAAACUGGCUCAAUGAGCCUUGGCUUUGAUGACCUUCUGCCUUGUUGGCCUUCUGGUUUAAUUGUGACCAAGGAACUGAGAAGAAAAUAGAGAGUAAAGGAGCCAUUUGGUCCACCUUUACAUCUGCCUGGGGCUUUGAUGACAGCCAUCAGCAGGUGCAGCAAGGGCAGCUGCAGGUAGGUAUGACAGGGUGGGAUGUCUCACAAGGUGCAGGGUGUACUAAGCCACUGAAUGCAUCAUCACCCCACUUUUCAGUCUAUGUUUGACCUCCAGUGCACAUGAGGAGAAGGGAGAUGGUGCUGUGACUUACAUUAGAGUGCUGUCUGCUCUUCUGGUGUCUUUGAUGGUGGCUCUUCUUGGCAUGUGACGUGAUCCC
rnacentral:lncRNA from 1 species